AUUUUAAUCUUGGUUUCAUGUGUAAAUUGCUGCAAUGAGGUUACAAUAAUUUUUUUUAUUGGGUUCGAGGAUUUUUAAGAAGAUGGCGCUUGAGAUUGAGAAUGGUUUGAAUUGUUUGACAACCCAAAUUGAGAUUCAUUAGAGGGAAAGGUUAAAUUUAUCAGUUAGACAUGAUAAUCAAUGCAUCAUCCCUUUACAUUCUGUGCUUGACCAAUGAUUACUUCAAUGACAACAAAUGUCGCCGAGAUCUCAGGUCUUAAACUUUAAACAUUUGAUUCAGCCCCAGGAACAGGACAGCCAAGGUGAACCUGAAAUAUUUCUGAUUAUCCUUUUUUUCAUGCCAAAAUAUCAAGCACUGGCUGGGUGCCUAUUGAGGAUAUCGUAGAUUUGAGCAAAAGUGAGACUGAAAGGCAAAGGCGUGAAGGGGAAAGUGUUUGACAAAUAUAUUUGCAGAUGAUGUGAUUGAAGUGAACAACUUUGGUUGAGAAGAAAGUUUUUGAAGGAGCUGGAGUACAUCACUAUUAGUUUCCCCUGGAACUAAAGUGAUCUCAAUUUUCGGGUCUGGAA